rnacentral:rRNA from 1 species
AUGCUGCGCUCCUGCGCCGGCCACGGCGCCAGGACGGUCGCCUCUCCGCGCACGGCCACGCCGCCACACCGCGGCAGGCGCCAGCACCUCCUCCGCCCGCGCAGCAGCGCAAAGAAGCCCCCCCAGGAUGCAGAGUCAAGUGGGGGCAGCGCCAAGAACGCCCUCGCCGGCGCGCUCCCCAGCAAGACCGCGCUCCUGCGCGCCGGCGCGGUUCUCUUCGCCCUCGGCUUCGUCGACGCCGGGUACAGCGGCGACUGGUCCCGCAUCGGCGCCAUCUCCAAGGACACAGAGGAGCUGCUCAAGCUCGGGGCCUACGCCGUCGUGCCUCUCUGCCUGGCCCUCGCACUCCGGGUGCCCGGAGACGACGGCAGUGAAUCUUAG